GUGUGUGUGUGUGUGUGUGUGUGUGUGUGUGUGUGUGUGAGUGCUCACACAGCUGUGUACCUCAUCCUCUCUUCUCUGCUGAUUUCAGCAGUCUGAGGUGGUCUCUGGGUCUCCAAGCUCUGCCCUCUCCAACCCACCAUCCACACAGCUGCCAGACUAAGAAUCUCCCCUGCUCACAAGUCCCUACUGCCUCGAGGACAAAUACCAGCCCCAAAUGCCACAGCUCUGCUCUGAACCCUGAACACAGCCUGAACCAGACACGGAUCACCUCCUUCUCCAUGUGCAGCUGUUCCGCAAUCAGCAGGAUCUCCUCUGAGGACCUCUGCUCUGGGCCGCCCACCCCACCCCAGAACCUUGGACAGUAGUCAGCGGCUCCUUUUCUAGGCUAGGGGCUGAGCCCUCUCCCCAAAACCGUGGAUAGCGGCUCUUUUCUAGGGCAGAGGCUGACCUCUCCCCAGGACCUUGGACAGCAGUCAGCGGCUCUUUUCUAAGCCAGUCUUCCUAGGACCUUGGACAGCGGGCAGCACCUCUUUUCUAAUCCAGAGGCUGAGCCCUCUCCCUAGAACCUUGGACAGCGGUCAGCAGCUCUUUUCUAAGCCAGAGGCUGAGCCCUCUCCCUAGAACCUUGGACAGCGGUCAGCAGCUCUUUUCUAAGCCAGAGGCUGAGCCCUCUCCCUAGAACCUUGGACAGCGGUCAGCAGCUCUUUUCUAAGCCAGAGGCUGAGCCCUCUCCCUAGAACCUUGGACAGCGGUCAGCAGCUCUUUUCUAAGCCAGAGGCUGAGCCCUCUCCCUAGAACCUUGGACAGCGGUCAGCAGCUCUUUUCUAAUCCAGAGGUUGAGCCCUCUCCCUAGAACCUUGGACAGCGGUCAGCAGCUCUUUUCUAAGCCAGAGGCUGAGCCCUCUCCCUAGAACCUUGGACAGCGGUCAGCAGCUCUUUUCUAAGCCAGAGGCUGAGCCCUCUCCCCAGGACCUUGGACAGCGGCUCCUUUUCUAGAGCCCCAGCUGGGACACGCACCGGCAUCGUUGAGCCAUUUUUCCAAAAGGGGCUUCAGUUUGCACAUGUUCUUAAAGCUAAGGUUGAGCGCCUCAAAGCGCGA